AACAGAUAGUCUGAAAUUUAAUGGCGUUUCAUACAAUAAAUCAUCUUAGAAAAAUAUACAUUUUCUGCAUACUUCAUUCUUAUUUAAUUUACAAAAUAUCUUCCUAGGCCCCAUAUUGGUUAUAGUUUUUCAUUCUUAGUGAUUUACAAAUGGGAACAGCUAUACCUGUCUGGGUAUAUUCUCCCAACAUAGGGAAAUGAAUCAUUUAGGGUGCUUCUUACUCUCUGCUCUGGUGCUGUUUAUGACAUCGUUGUAUCACUCUGGCAGCUGCUGCUUGUAUUACCUGCUGGUUGUUUAGCAACCCAGUUGCUUAAGGGCUGUGUGUGUAUAUGUGUGUGUACCUGUGUGCAUGUACCUAGUGUGAUCCCAAUACUGGGGGGAGAGGAAACAGUGACAGAUGCAGGCUGGCGACUACACAUACCCAGAGAGAAGGUAGCAUCUGAUGUCAGCCUGGGCUCUGAGAACCAAGGGAGAGUCUGAAUGUGGAAGAAUCAGAAGAUUUCCCUUAUUCCUGAGGAGAGAAAGUAUGCUCUGGCGUCUCUCUCCAGCAGUUUCUCUGAUAUAGAAAUCAGUAAACAAAGACUGAGUCUCCCAGUCUUUCAAAAAGAAAUACAGUGUUAAAUCAAUGUAUGAGAUUAAAAAUACAUUUACUUUACCUACAGCUAUAUGAAAAAUUAACACCCUUCCAUAUGCAGGAAAUCUGUUUUUAUAAAUGUUUAUGAGCAGGUGACGUUUACGAGGGCCCCUAAUUAGAUUGGCUUGCCGUGUACUGCUGCGUACUGCCACUCGACCUUUGGCAUGAUUCAUUGUUCUGUUUUAUUGAUCUGUAGUUAAUCACUUCUAGGUUUCGAUUUUUCCCUAUCAAAUGAGCUGGGGAGUUCCGGCAUGCUCAGGGCAGCUUUUGAUGCUGUCCUAGGUGUUUCUAAAAUUUAGUGACCACAAAAGUCACUUGGAGAGCUUGUUAAAAAUAUGCAGACUCCGUGGUUGAAUCUCCCAAUGAAACCACUCCUUUAGUUCUGGGUGUGGCCCAGAAAUCUGCAUUUCCAAUGGGUGGUUUAGAUCCAGGUGACUUGGGCGCUGGGGUGGUUGGUGAGUUGAAUGCUUUUUGCCACUGAAUGAAGGAACACUCAUUUUUGGAUUCAAAGAAACGGUAUCUUGGACUCAGUUUAUGUGCCUCCUAGAUUCACUUGGCCCACCUGUUCCCCAAGCCU
rnacentral:lncRNA from 1 species